AACUCCUGACCUCAGGUGAUCCGCCCGCCCUGGCCUCCCAAAAUGCUGGGAUUAUAGGUGUGAGCCACCAUGCCCACCCCAUAUAUAUAUUUUCUAAUAUUAUCCUUCCUUCUCUGGUGUAAACCAAGUGGAACAGUGGGCACCAAAACACAGUGCACGGCCUAUCCCUUUCAUUGACGGAGGGGUGGAGAGCAAGUCACUUCUGUGCUAUAGCUGGGGAGAUAAAACAGAGAAGACCAAGAGAUCUCAGGGCAGGCAGGCCUGGAAGCCUAUUGAGGAGCAACAGUAAUUAUACUCAUAUCAUUAAUAUUAUGUAUUGAGUUCUUCCUACACAUAAUGCUAAGUGCUUUACAGAUCUGAUUGCUCAAACAGCCCUGUGAGGUGGGCAUCCUUAUCUCCAGUGUACAGAGGAGAAUCUGAGGCUCAAAGAGGCUGAAUCAUGGCCCCACAUUAGAACGAUCCUGCCUGGAUCUCCAGCCCAGCUGUCAGGCUACGCAAAAGGCCUCCAAAAGAGAGCAGGGGCUUUGUGUUUGCACGUGGAUUAGCACAGCUCACCAGGAUCAGAGGCCAAGGAGUCUCUGGCAGGAAUUAGGCCAUCCUCCACCUACCAGCAGGUAUUCCCAGGAAACCAUUGAGGAAGCAGGAGACAGCCAGGCCAGGCCGGCCCAUCAAAGGGCAGACAUGCUAGGGUCUCUGUUCUUUGGUAGGCACAAGCAAAGCGAGCCUGUCACCUGCUGACUUAGAGGAGAAACGGAGAGAGGAACCCAGAUAGCGUGGAGGCUGCAGUGGAUCCACUCAGUGGGGGAUACGUGUCUCUCCAAGGGGGCUGCAGCUGGAAGGGGCCACAGCACAGAGGAGAGUGCUGCAUUUCUGUGUGAUGAGCUUGAAGCAGGCAUCCACAGAGAUUUGUACUAGAGGCACCUGAAGAUGCAGACAGGGAACUGGGACACAGGUUUCCAUGAUAAUGAGGAUGGAUGAGGCUGUUUCUUCCCGCCCAAGUCUAGUCCCCUCCACCUCCCACCAUUUGGCCUCGGAGGACCAGCUUCCUGAAAAUAAUUUCUGAACAGACCCUGACCCACUCUUUCUUAGUCCUUGCCUUCAAGAAUGUGGGGACCCUCUGUGUCGGGCCAGAGUCUACAGUGGCGGAUGUUGUGUUUUGUUGCUCCAGGAACGGGGCUGCAUGUGGAAGCCCUUGCUGGUUUCUGUGUGGAGCGGUUUACCGCAAAGUUAGCUCUUACCUCCCAUGCUCAAAGACGAUUGACCAGCUUGAAGUGGACUGAUGAACAUUUAACCUCUUAAUAGUCUCCAGACAGACCACGGGUUUUCCCUGAAUACCUGGCACACGGGGAAUGUGCUGUGAAAUUUGCGGAGUGAGUGAGUGGACAAGUGAAAGCAUGGUCUCCUUCGACUUCCAGCUUGAAAGGUAAAUCACACCGUGCAGAUGUUAUCAAGAUAUGAAGUGCCUUAUAAAUAUGACAGGGGCUUCAGAAAAAGAAUGUGAGCUAUGCAGAGAAGCCAACAAGGAAUGUGUUCACCUCUCAGCCUCAACCCAUGGGUCAGAAAAAGACAUCCCUGGAAUUGGAGCUUUGAAAGCAGAAGAUAAACAUGAUGGAUAUCAGAGAACUUCAAAGAGAGCAAGGAUCAGGUUCCAGGAGACCAGGAUUGUUAGGCUGAGCAGCUGGAGAGCCCUGCAGGGCUGGUGAACUCUGGGGGGUGGUGGAGGGGACUCACAUUCUGAGCACCUUUCCUGUGCUUCUCACUCACUUGCUCAGGUUUUCACAACAGUGGAAAGUGAUGCUUAGAAGGGGAAUUACCUGCUCAAGGAUGCAGAGCGGGUAGCUGAGCAGGAGCCCAGCCCCGGCAGGGCGGACUUUCCACUCUGCCAGGAAAUACGCCAGAGGAGUCUGAACUCCGCCAUCUUGAAAUCUUAAAGCAACUGAAAUCUUAAAGCGACUGAAGUCUUAAAGCAACUGAAAUCUAAAAGCGACUGAAACUUUAAAGCAACUGAAAUCUAAAAGCGACUGAAAUCUUGGAAGCUCUGUUCGUCCUGAGUGUCUCCUGUGGGAACAAAUCAAAGGCUGAGGCAGGGAGAAGCUCCGGCUGCAGCCCUGCCAGCCACUUCUCCAGGCCUAGGACAGAGGGGUCUCUGGGGACUGCACUGAGCCCCGCCACCUCACACCACCAUCCCGGGCUCCUCAGGCUGUGGCUUCCACUGCUUGCCCUAAAAUUCCCCGCAGGUCCACUGCAUUCUAGAGAACCGGGCUCUGUGCUGGGGCCAACACAGGUUCUCCUGCCUCUGACAUUUGAACGCCCUGCCCUGGACCUAUGGACCCCGCCCAAGCCCUCAUGAGGAAUUUGACCCCAUCCUUUAGUGCCCAGCUCAAAACCCAGUUCCCUUAGCAGACCCGGUGACCCUCGGGUCCUCGGGCCAUGUUGUUUCUGCCUCUUUCUGCUCCCUGCCGUCUAAGAUUAAUCCAUCUGAUUAAUUUCACAUAUAUUUAUUGACUUAAAAAUUAUUAUGUAAUAUUCACUACAUCCUCCUCUAAUGUGGAUCAGUUAGGUUUUUAAUGGGGAUCAGUUAUGUGUUUUGGGCAUCAUGAGGAAGUCAUGGAUUGAAAUGUUUGCUGAGUUGUUAUUUAUUGUGGUAUUGUUUUUAUUAAAGCACAGAUGGUUGUGUUGCAGGCAGGUAGGAGCCCCUUCAAGUUGAUGGCUGAGUCCUUAAGGCUUUACUGUGGUUUUUAUUUUAUCUUACAUUUUAUUUUAUUAUAUUAUUUUAUUUAUUUUAUUUUAUUUUAUUAUUUUGAGAUGGAGUCUAUCUCUAAACAUUAUAAGUUUAGUUCUUCCUAUUCGAGGGGCCUUUUAUAUCAAUGAAGACACACAGAAUGACUUUUUUGUGUGUUCUUUCACUUACGUUUUUGGGAAAUUCACAACAUGAUUCUAAAAUUACUAUGAAAAUGGACGUGCCAAGAAUAGCAAAACAACCUUGAAGAACAACGUUGGAGGACUUCAUGUCACUUCCCAUAGAGCUUUGGCAAUAAAGACUGCGUGUGCUGUCUUCCAUUGUAUGGAUACGCUGCGAUGUAUUCAUCCAUUGUGGGGUUGGUGGACGUUUGUAUUGUUGCCAGCUGGUGGCGUUCGUGAAUAAUGCUGCUAUACACAUGCUUGUGUCCAUCUCUUGUAACAUCUGUGCAAGCAUUUCUUUGGGGUAUAUGCCUAAAAGGGAAAUUAGAGGUAGGUGGUUGCAGGUAGAGUGACCACACAUUCUCUUUGAUCCAGAGAGCCCAAGUUUAUGUUUUUGAUCAUGUAUCAGCGUAAUAUAUUGUCUUAUAUGAAUAUCCAAUUGUUUUGGAAUAAUUUACUGUGAAGAUGACCAUUUUCCCAGUGCUCUAGAACGCCAUCUUUGUCAUGAGUUAAGUGUUCAUAUACGCUGCUUCCCCUAUUGUCUCCACCUGAAAAAACUCUGAAUUCAUUUGCCAGGUUGAAUGACCACACCUUAUGGAAAUGUUUACUCUCCCCCUUCUAGGUGUCUCUCUAAGAGUUCAUGCCCUCCACCACUUGUCACAGGAAAGGGACUGUUGUUUUGGCCAGAUUGUAGGGUCCUUAAGUUAUGCCUUAUUUAUUCUUCCUUC